rnacentral:rRNA from 1 species
GUGCCAGCCGCCGCGGUAAUACGGAGGAUCCAAGCGUUAUCCGGAUUUAUUGGGUUUAAAGGGUCCGCAGGCGGGAUAUUAAGUCAGUGGUGAAAGGCUGUCGCUUAACGAUAGCACUGCCAUUGAUACUGGUAUUCUUGAGUAUAGUUGAGGUGGGCGGAAUAAGUCAUGUAGCGGUGAAAUGCAUAGAUAUGACUUAGAACACCGAUUGCGAAGGCAGCUCACUAAGCUAUUACUGACGCUGAGGGACGAAAGCGUGGGUAGCAAACAGGAUUAGAAACCCUGGUAGUCC